AAUUCCUGCUGUACCAUGCCAUGCUCCCUCUCAUUCUGAAUCUCAGGCAACUCCUCAUUCUAGUUAUGGCUUAUGUACCUCCACCCCAGUCUGGUCACUUCAGCGGCCACCCUGCCCUCCAAAGGUUCAUUCUGAAGUUCAAACUGAUGGCAACAGUCAGUUUGCAUCACAAGAGGAUUCAGAAAUUCAGAGGUUGAUUACAGAAAUGGAGGCAUGUAUAUCUGUACUUCCAACAGUAAGUGGAAACACAGAUAUUCAAGUUGAGAUAGCACUGGCCAUGCAACCAUUAAGAAGUGAGAAUGCUCAGUUACGAAGGCAGUUGAGAAUUUUGAACCAGCAACUCAGAGAACAACAGAAAACUCAAAAACCAUCUGGUGCUGUGGAUUGCAACCUUGAAUGUAGGUAAAAGAACUUUAAGGAUUGAUAAAUUAUUUGUGGCUCCGGAAAUGUUGAUAAAGAAUUGAGCUUUUGUAAUUACUUUGAGGGGAUAAAUUUAAAAUAUUGUAGAAACAUAAGAAAAUAAAAGAUGCUGUCACUUCCCAAU
rnacentral:lncRNA from 1 species